GAUGAACGCUGGCGGCGUGCCUAAUACAUGCAAGUCGAGCGAACAGACGAGGAGCUUGCUCCUCUGACGUUAGCGGCGGACGGGUGAGUAACACGUGGAUAACCUACCUAUAAGACUGGGAUAACUUCGGGAAACCGGAGCUAAUACCGGAUAAUAUAUUGAACCGCAUGGUUCAAUAGUGAAAGACGGUUUUGCUGUCACUUAUAGAUGGAUCCGCGCCGCAUUAGCUAGUUGGUAAGGUAACGGCUUACCAAGGCAACGAUGCGUAGCCGACCUGAGAGGGUGAUCGGCCACACUGGAAAUGAGACACGGUCCAGAAUCCUAAGGGAGGCAGCAGUAGGGAAUCUUCCGCAAUGGGCGAAAGCCUGACGGAGCAACGCCGCGUGAGUGAUGAAGGUCUUCGGAUCGUAAAACUCUGUUAUUAGGGAAGAACAAAUGUGUAAGUAACUAUGCACGUCUUGACGGUACCUAAUCAGAAAGCCACGGCUAACUACGUG
rnacentral:rRNA from 1 species